AGACCUCAGCAGAACCUAACUGGCCACCAAAAAGAGACAAGACUACCAUGGGACCCUACCAGGGGUUAGAAGGAGGGGAUGUCUUAUCCCCGAUUCCACUGUGAGCAGCUAAAAAGCAGAGACUAUUUUCAUUAUUUUUGUAGUAGUUACCUCUUGAUUGUUCCCUGGCAGGCUGCCUAGAAAGCAAGGGUUACAUAGAUUUGAAACUAAGGACAAGGCCUCACUCCGAC
rnacentral:lncRNA from 1 species